CAGAUUUGAUCCUGGCUCAGGAUGAACGCUAGCGGCAGGCUUAACACAUGCAAGUCGAGGGGCAGCGGGGGGUGUAGCAAUACACUGCCGGCGACCGGCGCACGGGUGCGUAACGCGUAUGCAACCUACCCAUAACAGGGGCAUAACACUGAGAAAUUGGUACUAAUUCCCCAUAACAUUCGAAGAGGCAUCUCUUUGGGUUGAAAACUCCGGUGGUUAUGGAUGGGCAUGCGUUGUAUUAGCUAGUUGGUGGGG
rnacentral:rRNA from 1 species